rnacentral:rRNA from 1 species
GAGUUUGAACCUGGCUCAGGAUGAACGCUGGCGGCGUGCCUAACACAUGCAAGUCGAACGGAUCCAUAUUGAAACCUAGUGAUGUAUGGAUUAGUGGCGGACGGGUGAGUAACGCGUGGAUAACCUGCCGUAUACAGGGGGAUAACACUUAGAAAUAGGUGCUAAUACCGCAUAAGCGCACGGUUCCGCAUGGAACAGUGUGAAAAACUCCGGUGGUAUACGAUGGAUCCGCGUCUGAUUAGCCAGUUGGCGGGGUAACGGCCCACCAAAGCGACGAUCAGUAGCCGGCCUGAGAGGGUGAACGGCCACAUUGGGACUGAGACACGGCCCAAACUCCUACGGGAGGCAGCAGUGGGGAAUAUUGCACAAUGGGGGAAACCCUGAUGCAGCGACGCCGCGUGAGUGAAGAAGUAUUUCGGUACGUAAAGCUCUAUCGGCAGGGAAGAAAAUGACGGUACCUGACUAAGAAGCCCC